CGGCNUCNCGAANACUACACUGUCUCCCCCCUAAAAUCAAUGAAACUAAUCCCCUCGUGAAGAAGCGAGGAUACAAAUAUAAGACGAGAAGACCCCAUGGAGCUUUAAACAAACCUCAACUGCUCCCUCCCUAAUCAUAGAAAUUGAGCAUUAAUGACGGGUAGUUUUCGGUUGGGGUGACCGCGGAGUAAAACAAAACCUCCACAAUGAAUGUAAUAAAAUACUAAUAAAAGAACCACAAUUCUAACAAUCAAAAAAUUGACAUAUUUGACCCAAACACUUGAUCAAUGAACCAAGUUACCCUGGGGAUAACAGCGCAAUCCAUUUUAAGAGCCCUUAUCGACAAAUGGGUUUACGACCUCGAUGUUGGAUCAGGGUAUCCUAGUGGUGCAGCCGCUACUAAUGGUUCGUUUGUUCAACGAUUAAAACCCUACGUGAUCUG
rnacentral:rRNA from 1 species